rnacentral:lncRNA from 1 species
UUUGAUGAGACCUUUGCCCUUGUUGCUCACCUUGAGUCAAUAAGACUACUAUUAGGAGUGACUUGUUUACUUAAGUUCAAGCUAUUUCUAGACAAAAUUAAAUCAUUAAUUCAAAGGAGAAAAUCCAAUAAUUGCAUUGCUAUUUAAGGAGACUCAAACCUCGCGUUUGAGGUGUGCAUUUUUUAACGACUUUUAAUGUUAGGGUUUCUAAUUUUUUAGUCUUUGUUUGAGUUAUUGUUGUGCAUCACUCUAGCACCUCCAUUCUUAUCUUAAGGCAUAAAAGUUGGUUUCCUUGUUGAGUUGUAAAACUUUGUUCCAAGAUAUUAUUUCUAUAAGCUUGAGAACAAAGUGUUUUUGUUUCUUGUAUUCCAUGCUAAUGUUGUAUUAAUGUUGAAUCCAUUUGUGUACACCACUAUAUGUUUUAAUAACUUGGUAUAGUUGUUUGUUUGUUUUAGUUGAAUUAUAAAUUCAACAAUCAAUAAAGUUUCUAUUGAAGUUAAUCACUAUGGGUUAGUGAUUGAGAUAAAGUGAGAGGGGCUAUAAUAUUUAGGGGGGGGGGGGUCCUAAAUAGAAAGUCAAUAGGAUUAGGAAAAGGGCAUUAAAAAUAAUGAGGUUGAUGUUACUAUAAGACUAAUUGUACUAAUUCUAAGUAGUGAAUUUCCUUUCUUGGGUAGAGUUCCCCCAGACGUAGGUGUGGUUUCACCGAAUUGGGUUACCAAUCUCUUGUGUUCUUUAUUGCUUUGUUGCUUCAUCAUCUUGUAUAAGUUAAAUUGUUUUCUCUUGGUAUUUUAAAAUGGUUUUUAUUCUGGUAUACAAUGUCCCAGACAUUGUGUCUGACAUUUGUCCCUAAAAUCUGUUAUCAACCAUAAACCAAUUGUUCAAUUAUCUCAAACAUUUUGUCCAACAUUUGUCCUCAUGAGAACAAAAUUUCAAGUGAGACCAGCUAAGUCUGGACCAUUAAGUUGUUUCAACAAGGUCUUGAUAUCAAAGACACCAUAAGGGAUUUCUUAAAUGGUCUAGAAUAUAUCUACAUCGAAAACCUUUGCUUUCAAUUGUUGAACCAACAAAGAAACAUAGCUACUAGAAGGCUCGUUGCCUGAAGUAGUUGAAGAGAUUGGAGAUUUUUCAAUUGAAAUACUUCGAUUGCUCAUAAACUUCUUUAGAGCCUCCAUAGUGUUUCUAUAUUUUAUAACCUUCAGUUCUCCUGACUAAAAGAAGUGUCAGAAGUUUUGGAUGAAGAAUCUAUAAUUACAUACUGAAUUAUAAUAGCUAUAGUCGAAAAAGAAUUCUUAAUGGUUGCUGGUGAAGUAUGUGUAGUUGGAACAACAUAUGGUUGUUCUUUUCCAGUCAUAGUAGUUUGAAAUUUACUUUGGACUUGACUCUCUUGUGUUCGACCAACAUCCUGAUCCUUUUGUGGUUGAUCAACAUGCUCUUGGCUUUCUGGUGUUUGAACAUUGUUGUCUGGACCAGUUGAUUGAUGGCCAGGUUCUUCAUCUUCUGGACCCGUUGAUUGUUCAGGAUUUUGAUCUUCGACCACUUCCUUUAAUUGCUCAACAUAUGUCUUCUCGAUUGGAUUGUCAGUUAUUGGUUAUUGUGAUGGCAAGUUUACCAGAGCAUCAUACACAUUUGAGGCAUUGAUUAUUGGGGGGGGGGAGUAACAUGAAUAAGAGUCUCUUAUAAAUAAAAUAGAAGUCAACCAAUAUUGUAAAAUUGUAUGAUGUAGAUAAAAAAUGAGAUAUAAAUGAAACUUAAAGUACCUUGGAUGUUCUAUGUCUAGGGCUUUAAUCUUCACUCCCUAAACGCUCAUCAGGAGUGAAUUGCCUUUGGAAAUUUGUUUUAGUUUUGGUUAGUUGGGAGCUUUCUUCUUCUUCUUCUUCUUCUUCUUCUUCUUAUUCUUAUUCUUAUUCUUAUUCUUCUUUAUAAUCAAUACUGAUAACAAUUUUCCUUUUUGAUUUCUUUACUGGAUUAGCCUUAGGAGCUUGGAUUUUUUUCUUCCUGGCUUGUCGAAGUUUCGAGGCCUCGACAACAAUGUUUUUCUUUUUAGAUUGUCGAAGUCCUAAGGUUUUAACAUCAUCUUGCCAUUUACUCUGAUAUUUGGGAGGUAAGGGUCUAUGGGAAACCUCAUUACUUUCUUUACAACUUCCACUCCCAUCAUUUUCAUCAUCUUUAUUGUUCUUGUCUUUAAUUCUCAGAUCAGACUAACAUGUUUAUGAUUAUGAGUACAAUGAAUAUAUUUCUUAAAGAAAUUAAAUACAACAAUAAAAGUUGGAUUUUAGUCUAAACAUGUGUUCCUUCAAUUUCAAGAGAUAUGCUUUUUCCUUCCUUGCAUUUUUUUCCCGAUUUGGAGUAGUAGUUGUGGAACCACUUCCUCAUUUCGAAUCUGAAAAAUAAGAACAAGGAUAAAGAAGGGAUAAAGAAAGAAAAACCUAUUGUCAUAAAAGAGAACAAAGGUUUAGAAAGAUACUUGUUUUUACUUCUUUUGGUUGGUUGGAUUCCUCACGGUCAUCAACUGUUUCAACUUCCUUCUUUUUUGACCCUUUUGGAACGAGAGAUCGAGCUACAAAAUUUCGACACAAGUAAACAAUAUGAACGUAAAAGAAAAGUUAGUGGGUUUUAGAAGUCCAUUUAUCUCACCUUCUUAGAUGGUGGAUAUGCUUUGGACAUGUUCAAGAUCAAUCCUUAAAGGCCCUCUAUAAUUGUGUAUAUUGUACGUAUUCGAAAAUACUCUCAGAGCAGAUUUUUUAAACUCAUUCUAUAAGGCUGACAAAAACCCACAAAAAUAUCAUUUUGGAGGUGGCAACUGAAAAGCUAAGCCAAAUUCACAACUUGAUAAUGGUGAGAAUUUUGAAAUGUGAAAUUCCAAAGUAAAAUCAUAUCUAUCUUUUACGUAAGAAGGAAAAUUAAGUUUGAGAAUUUUUAGUGUUUUUUGUUUCAAAAUAGAAGCUACAUCAUGGAUAUAGGUGAGAUUUUCAGAGUAGGAAGGAGCAGUAACAUCAACAAUAGAAGGAUUUUGGAGUUGUUGUUUUGAGCCAAAAGUAUAAGCCACUUUUCUACAAUUGAAGUUAGAGGAAGAUGUGAAAAUGGAAGGUUGUGGUGUAUGAGAGUUAUUAGGAUUCAGAAGAAUAAAAGUGGUGAAACUGAAGAAAUAAGAGAAGAGGAAGUUAUAUAAUUGUUGAAAUAAGACUUUUCAUUUUUCAUAAGACUAAAAUAUCGGCGUUUUGAAACUUUGUGUUAAAACAUUAAUGAUUAAUAAUUUUCCUUUUAUUUAAUGUGGUUAAUUCUGGUGGUCCACGAUGACCUUGAAAAUCAGAGCCAUGAUGGUGGAUGCACGCAUGUAACUGACGUGAUGACUAGGUAGUAGUAGUCAUAAUGAUGGUGACGUAUGUAGAACAGUUUGAAUAGUAUUGAGAGUUACUAAAAAAAUGCCAUUUGUCUGCCAUAUUGAAAAUAUUAUCGAAAAUGACAUUUUUUCGGAGACAUUUGUUAGCCUAUGAUUUUUGACUCAGGUUGUUCGAUCAAUAAUGUGGAUAUGAGAUAAAUAUAAGUGUUAAAUGCAAGUAGUUAAAGUAUGUCUUUUGACACCAAACCACACGAUUCAACAUGAGAACUUUUCGAGUGUCAUACUAGUUUGAGACAGUUUAAGAAUCAACGACACGUGAAAACACAUUAGAAGACAGAAGCUUGCUUAACAAGAUAUGCGUUGAAUCUUGGAGGAGUGAUAGUUUUUUCGACCGUUAUUGAUGUACAUAAUAUAUAAGUAGAUUUGGUCUCUAGGACAAGGAUUCACAUUUCAUUUUAUUUUCUAUAGAAUUCACACAUCCGAGUCACAAAAUUACAAUUUUUUUUAGAUAUAUGAACUUACGUCCCACUUUUAAAUUCAAACAUUUUUAUUCAAUUGCAUUUUUUCUUCAUUUUCUUCAUUUACUUUAUCCUUUUUAAGUAUUUUUGCACUUAUUUCUUUCAACUUACAUCCAAUACUUUUAAAUUCAAAUAUAAAGCAUCACAAUACUAUUAUACUUUCUCAAACACUUCACACAAAAUAUCCUUAAAUUUUUUUCGAAUUUAAUACUUCAUAAAUCAAUAUUUAUGAUUUAUUUAUUAAAAACACAAGUUAACAUAUAUUCGCAUCUUAUAUCAAUGUUUUGACUUUUAAUAAAAUGAAUUAAUUUUCUAUUGUAAUUUUAUUUUUGACAAAAUCAUUUUUGGACAAUAAAAAAGCGUCCUCUCUUAUUUUUGGAUCGCUGCUUAACAGUAACAGUGUUGUCUCAAUUUGAAGUGGCUUUUGCUUCGUAAAAUUAAUUUCUCGUGAGGUAAAUAGCAUUUCAAUUUGCGUCUUCGAUUCAAUCUCCAUUUCUCAUUCUCCUGUAUUGCCUGAUUUCUGUUUCUUCUACUUUUCAUAACUUCCAUCUCCUUCUUUUCAAUGGUCAUCAGAUUUAUGUCUUCUGAUUCAGUUUUUACUUAUUUUGAAUUCUGAUUAUUUUUGCAUUCGAUUUUUCUUGCUUUUGUACAGUACCGUGAUUCCGCGAUUGUGCCCUAACUCAACGUUACGGUUGUUCAUGGUAUGGUUGUAUUAGAAAAUUGAACUGAACCAAACCAUAGUUAAAGUUUAUUCGAAUCAGAACCAAACCGAAUCAAAACUAUUCAUUUGGUACACCGUUUAGAAAUUCCGAACAGUUAGAAGACAAUUUUUCCAACCAUUUGUUAAAUAACCUAACCGUUAAUUUUUCUUUUGAAUAUAUAUAUUUUUUAAUUUAAAAUUAUUUUUCAAUUUCGAUUUGAUUCAGUUCGGUUCCGGUUUGGUUCUAAAACCGAUAGUACAAUAUGGUUCGGUUCAUUAACCAAACAUAACGGUUCGGUUAUUUUAACUUCAGUUUGGUUUGGUUCGGCGGUUCGAUUCGGUUCACAGUUUUUUGAACACCUCUACUCAAGAUACAUCUGACAUCAUCAAUUAUGAUUUCUAUCUACCAAUGUUUUUCUAAAAUGCAUCUUUUUUUUUUCAUUUCUUAUUAGGUGCAAUGGAUUGGGUUUUUGUGCAUAAAACUUGGGAUAAGUGGGCUUCUAUCAACAUUGGUUCUGGUGAGCAACUUUUACUUUACCUUCUUCUAAGUGAAGCACAUAUACAAUACAUAAUGAAACACCGACACCUCGAACACAAGGCGACAUCAGUAAUAAUUUGAAAAAUAAAUAAAUAAGUUGGAUUAAAUCACAAGUGUUGGUGCUGGUGUUCGACGUGUCUUUUUUCAGAGGUGUCGGUGCUACAGAUGAUAUACAUGAAUGUGUUACCGGUGACAUUUAUCUGAUCCUCACAUUCUAGGUCUUCCUUUAAAAGCUGCUUUGCUGAUUAAUUAUGACCCAACUGGACCAUCUCGCUUGUUAUCUACCAUGUAAGAAGGAUUAUGAUUCGUCGUGAUAUCAACUUUACAUUAUUGUUAUCUGGUGUUUUAUGUAUUUUAGAAAUGAAAAAUGGCUUUAGACUAUGUUUGGAUUGAUGAAAUGGAAUAGGAAUAUAGGAUGCAAUGGAAUGGUACAAACUUAUGUUUCAUUGUUUGGAUUAAUUAAAAAAAGGAUGGAAUAGAGCGGAACCAGAUGGAAUGUUUAGGGUUUAGGUUUAGGGCUCUAGAUGGAUAACCAGCAUACAUAUUGCAUAGAGUCGGUAUAAUUGAAGCUUAUAUCUUUCGGUCUUGCUGAAAUUUCUGUCAUGUGCAACUUCUGCUAGUUCUUCAUCAAUUAACCUGACCUGGAUUUUCAUGAUAAUAAAGUUUCAGUUGAUACCAGCACAGCACUGAUGUAGCUCUUUUAGAGGAGUAUUAGAGUUUCUGAUUAUGCUUUGAGGGUACCCCUGAUCUAAUUGUUAUUGUAACUUAAAAUAAGCAAAUAAUAAUACCAUUGUUGUUUGAAAUAUCUUAUUUCUCUGUCAAAUUACAAGAUUCCAAAGCUGCAUAGUACUUUUUGCUUCCCAUUUCAUGUUCAAUACUUUAUUUCACAAUUCAGUACCUCUAUGGCGAAGCUUUUAUGCAGGAGCUAACUGCUGUAUUGAGUCCACUCCAAAUUUGAUUUUUUCUUCACCUUAACUGGAAGCUUUAAGUUAUUCUUUAAUUUUGUUGGGGAAGUAUUGGAAAAUAUAUUUUUAAUGCUAUCUGUGGUUGAAAGGAAGACUUUUCUAUUGUUUUUAGGAAAUUCUGCAUGAUGCCUGGUGAUUUUGUGCUCCCUUUGUUGAAGCAUCAUUAUUUUGCAUAUUUGGAUUCUGUUUUUGUUAUUUUUUGAAACACUGGAUUUACCUAUUGGACCAUUGAAUGUUGGCAGUGCUGAGCAAGAAGGAAUAAAAGUCAAUAUCAUUGAAUUGAGACAUUUUGUCGAUUUCAUCAGACAGAAUAAGCUCCAGACAGAGAUCUUCAAUAUUGGGUCCAAUCAAUGUAAGCUUUAACUUAGCUACAUUUUUGUUUGCUUAAAUAAUUCGUUACUGGCAAGGUUGUCAAGAUCGAGAUCUUACAUAAGAUUGGGAGAGAAUAGCAAGGUCGUAAAAUAUAAAAUUGUAGUUAAGAUUGGAAGAUCCUAUUCAAGUAUAUUUUAAGUAUUUUUACAUGAUAUAUGUUAGUAGGCAAGUGUAUUAGCGGGAAAAUAACUAUUUUUCAUAUUCUUUAGACAUGUAUGUAUGGUUGGGCUUUUAUACUUUAUUACUACCACAUGGAACAUUUGUUAGACAUUAGGGACAUUUUUGGUCAAUUACUAGGAUUAUCAUAAGUCAAUUAGUUAAAACAAACCCUACAAGUGAGAUGUUUAUUCUCUAAACCCUAAAUCUAAAACUUCAUCAUUUCAAAAGGCACGCAUUCAUCCCCGACGAACAGUAAUUGUUGUACCUCUGCAUCUUGUCAUCCUUCUCACCUUUUAAUGGUGGUGGCCCAGGAAAUGGCCAAUCAUGCCGAAACUGGCAAAGAUCGCACAAAAGCAAUGAUUUUAUGAUUUUUUUUUCACAAUUUGGCUGCAACACGCGAUUCUACUUAAGAUCUAGAUCGAGAUCUUGACAACCAUUACCGCUUAGUUUGGGGGAGGGAGUAUUGUGGUAUUAUGUUUUUCGGAUCCUUUUUAUAUGCCUUCUGCUGUAAAGACAUUUGCUCACUUCUGAAGAACAUGCUAUUUUAAAGAUUCUACCUCAUGUGUAGAUGUUUAUGAGUCAGGACUCUUGGAGAGUUGGGCUAGGGUAAGCCAGAGAGGUUAAUUGAAGAACACCGUGUAUAUACGUGAUGCUUAUAUCUGAUUGUGCAUCGAACCACCCGUGGUGAUAAUGGUCUGUGUUUUUUAUAGGCAGUUGUAAACUGUACGCAGCCAUCUCAUAAAAGCUUAAGAUGUUAAUUAAGGGGAGUUAAAAAAAGAAUUACACUUAUUGCUAGAUAUAUCUGGCGAUAUGCGAAUAAAAUGCACAGUUCUUGGUAGUUUCAAUUAGACAUUUUAGCUAACUUGUAAUAAUCAUAGACAUGUGUGCGGUGGUGUGCUUCUGGCUUAUGAAUCAUGUAAUACAAAUCAUAGAACACAUGGUGGUGAAGCAAUUAACAUUCAGAUUGAAGUUGCAAAGAAUAUCAGUUGAGGCCAAUUUCAUUGGUGCAUACUAAAUUUUACGUCGCCGUAGUAGCUUCAUAAAAUCAUGAUGAGGAACUAAAUAAAUGGAGUGGUAUGAAAUUAUAUUAUUCUAAUUAACAUCUCUUUGGGGAUCCACUUUUAGAGGCCUGCUUAAGAAUUUUAAUGGUGACUCGUGUGUUUUGAAUUGGUUUGGCUUCUGUUCAAAACAACGUAAGAUCUAUAUUAUGUAGAGGGGUUGUGAAAGAAGGUUCACACGUAUAAGUUUGAAAGUUUAUGAUGUUCUGGAUUUCAGAUGGAUAGGUUGUUCGAUGUGUGAAAUUUUGAUAUUAGACUCGCUGUUUUUUGUGUUUGCAUUGUGCAACUCUGGCCACUACUGUGGUGCAUUCUAGUUCUUUUUUCAUACAUUAAUGACGUAGUUUUGGAUGGCAGACUUGGUCACCUCAAUUCAUGAGAACUGGUUUAGUGCUAGGUGCAUAAACACCUCAAGGCCUGCUGGGGAAGGUGCAAUUGUUAUGCAAACAGCAGCAUAUAUCUUGGUUGCUCUGUAAGCAUAUAUUUCUAAUUCAGCUUUUCGAUCAUGAACUGCACUUUAUUCUCCUCUCACUUUUCGUUGUAUACUUAUCUUUUGUUUCACAGGUAUGAAGGUUCCAUUGGUCCGGCAUCUCGUGCCAUGGGAGCUGCUGAUCAGCUAACUGGGCAAUUAGGGCGAAAAAAUCUUUAGAAUGGUCCUCCUCCAGCUAUGGCAGUGUUCGGCAAGACAUUAAUGACCCAGCAUAAAAGACUCUGCCAAGUCUAUCACAGGAAGAACUUUAGAAAUAGGAAUUAAUUAGUUUAUGCUUUUGUAUAGGUUGUUGAGGUUUUUAUUUUUAUGCUUUUGAAUAGGCCCCUUUCUACCUACUGCUACUCAGAAAUCUAACAUGCAGACUGUUGUGGCCAAGUGCAUUGGUGAUGUUUUGAUGAAGCUAGUGUUGAAGAACUGUAAUGUAUAUUUAAUCAUUUUAGAAUUAUAGAUUUGAAUCCUCUUAUUUCAUUUUCUCUACAUCUCUUCCUAAUCUUUUAAUUAUUAUUUUUUAAUGAAGAUAGAAAGAGAGAGUGGAAUUAAAAGAGAUAGAAAAUAACAAGUUAUAAGAUGAUCUAAUUUCAAAAAUCAUAUAUUAAACACAAUUUAGAUGAAUAGUAAUAAAUCUAAUCUAUAUUUAAUCACUUAAGAACUAUGAUUAAAUGUUUAAAAUAGUGGUUUUGUUUUAUGAUAACUAGAUGGCUAAUAAAUACACACUUAUUCGAUUUUUUUUUCAAAAUAACCAAUUUUUUGAAAAAAAAAAACGAAAAUAACCAUUUUUUCAAAAUAAAUAUAAAUAACCAAUUUGAGUUUUACAACCAACAAGAAUCAAACACACAAUCUUCUGAUCAAUAGUCAAAUUUGUUACCAUUGUACCACAAACCCUUCAUGUUAAUUUGUUUCAUCAUAUAUUUAAUAUAUCGUGUAUAAUCACAGUAGAUUAAUAAAUUACUAAAAUUUAGUUGAAAUUUUUUUCACUUAGUUUUAAAAUAAUGUAUAAUUACAGUAGAUUAAUUUGUUUCAUCUCUAUAUAUUUGUAUUAAUUAUUUUCACUUAGAACUUUUAUACCUAUUUUAAAAUUUUAAAUUAACUAAAUAUAUGUUUAAUUUUAUUUUAUCAUUGUUUUAAAAUAUAUAAGUUAAGAAUAUUAUUUAAUAUUUGCAUUUUAAUUUCUUAAGAGUAUAAUCACAAUUUUAUAUUAUAACAUUAAAUAUAUAAUAUAGAUAAUAUCCAUUCGACAUAUCAAAUAUGAACGUAGAUAGUUAAAAUAUUUAUGUUUAUUUAAAAUUGAUUAUAAUAAAACUAAAUAAAAUAUAUAUUUUUUAUUUUAUAAAAAGAAUUGUUUAAUAAAAAAGAGUAUUGUAUAAAAGAAUAUUUUAAUUUUAUAAAAAUAAACAUUAAAAAAAUAAUGGAUGAAACGUAAUUAGUGACAAAAUUAAAGACCAAUUCUAAAUAAGCUAUUAUGUACAUUGAUAUAUUUAGUGACAAAUUCAUUGACGUGAUGGAUUUUAAUAUGAUUUUUCAUUUUAUGUAAGGGACUUGACAACUAAACUAACAUCUCUAUAUAUUAAAUAAAUAUUAAUAAAUAUAAAAUUGUUAAAAAUAUAAUGUGAUUUAUAGUUAAAAUCUUUGUUACGCUCACAUUACUAUGUAUACGAUUUAUGGCAUAAAUUUUUAAAAAUAAUAGGAAGACAAAUGAAAUUUUGGUCAAUUAAAUAAUAGGAAGACAAAUGAAAUAAAAAAAAAUUGUCCCCCUUCUAAUUUUGGUCAAUUAAAAAAAAAUUCAAAUAAAAUAUUCUUAGUUGAAAUUUUUUUGCUUAUUCUAUUUUUAAUAAAUUAAAAACUUCAUUUUGAUUUAUGUUAAUAAUUUUUUUUAAUAAGACUUUUAACCUAUCAUUAUCUCCCCCUUCUCAUCUACCAAGUUUUAGUAAUUUAUUAAUCUACUAUAAUUAUACACGAUAUACUAAAUAUAUGAUGAAACAAAUUAACAUGAAGGGUCUGUGAUGCAAUGAUAAUGUGUUUGACUAUUGAUUAGAAGGUUGUGUGUUUGAUUCUUGUUGACUACAAAAUUGAGUUUUCUUUUCACAAACAACACACAGAGGGUCAUGUAGGCGCAAACAUUGACGCCUCUUCAUAAGGUGCAAUGAUUAUUUUGAAAAAAAAUUCCACUUAUUCCUUCUAUUUAGACCAAAACUAUCUUGUAAUUCCCUAUUUCUAAAAUCAGAAUUUUGGUCUGUUAUUUAUACCAUCUUUUGAUUUUUUUUUAUCCUUUAAUGCUCUAUCUAUUGAGCUCUUCUAAUCAUUGUUCUCUAUACGUGAAUAAAAGUGAAUUUAAGUCUAUUUUUUAUAACAUAUUUGUAAUAUUUAUUAGUCAUACUCAUACAUGAAUGUUCUCUUCCACCGUAAUUAUAAAUUAAAAAUAAGUUUUAAACUUAAUCACUUUUACAUGUAAAUUCUAAUUAUUUUUAAACUAUUUAAUUUCAAUAUACUUUUCUUUUAAUACAAUAAUAUUUAAUAUGAAUAGUUGAGAGAAGUAUUCUUUAAAAAUUAUGGUCAAGUUCCUGACCUACACCUCACAUUCGUUGUAACAUGAAUAAAGAGUAAUGAAAAUGGAUGCUAUUAGUUUAUUUAUUUCCUUUCAUUUUAUAGUUUUGGAUUAAAACUUUUUUACUUUUGUAAUGAGAGCAACUAAUUGUUUUAAAAAAAAACUCAAAAAUAAAAUUUACAUAUUCAAAUAAUAUUUUCUGUUCCUAAAAUUUUCAUUUUCGUGUGGUUUUACUCGAUUACCACCUUUGUAUUCUACUCCGGCUGCACGCAGCCAUAGAACACCACCGGCGACAAAACCAGAGACAACUCAACCAAACGGAACUUCCAAAAUUCAAUUCAACUUCACCGCAAGAAAUCUGAAUCAAGCUACAAUGAAACCCAACACCAGAACUAGUUUUUGUUCUUUAUUACUAUGCUUGCUUAUUUGUGUUCAAUUCAAAGCUUCUUUAGGAUCUAACAAGAGAACCGAUGAAGCAUACGUUACUCUUUUAUACGGUGAUGAAUUCUUAUUAGGCGUUCGAGUUCUCGGUAAAUCAAUUCGCAACACUCGAUCCAAUAAAGACAUGGUUGUUUUAGUCUCAGAUGGAGUUUCCGAUUUCGCCAAAAACCUUCUCCUUGUAAUCUUUCCAAUUUUGAUUUUGGUUAAACCUACCUUUUGUUAUUACAGCUUCUAAUUUUAACUAAUUUGUGAUUUUUUGCGUGUAUAUACUAUAGGCUGAUGGUUGGAUAAUUGAGCAGAUUACUUUACUUGCUAACCCUAAUCGUGUUCGUCCGAAGAGAUUUUGGGGUGUUUACACUAAGUUGAAAAUAUUUAACAUGACCAAUUACAAAAAAGGUGAUUUUUUUGAAAAUUUUAAUUUAGGUUUGUUACUAUUUAUAUAGCCUGUGUGGUUUAGGUAUGUUAAAUGUUUUUUGUUUUUGUUGAUUAUUGGUUGUUUGUGUGAUGUGAUUUAUAUGAAUUUGCAGUUGUUUACCUUGAUGCGGAUACUAUUGUGGUUAAAAACAUUGAUGAUCUUUUCAAAUGUCGGAAAUUUUGUGCUAAUUUGAAGCAUUCUGAGAGGUUGAAUUCGGGAGUAAUGGUGGUGGAGCCGUCUGGAACUGUUUUUAAUGAUAUGGUGAACAAAAUAAAAACUACUGCGUCUUACACUGGAGGUGAAGUGGAUUUUUCGGGCAUUGAUUUCAGAUUCUAUUAAUUUGUUUCUUUGGAUUUAUUGGGGUGAAGAUGUGAACUAAACCUGAUAGGGUUUUAACUAUUGUCUUCUGUUUUCCUCACUUUUGACAGGAGAUCAGGGAUUUCUCAAUUCCUAUUUCUCUGGAUUUCCCAAUGCACAUGUUUUUGAUCCAAAUUUGCCCUCGGAGGUGUUGAAGUCCAGACCCGUUCCAGAAAUGGAGAGACUGUCAACACUGUAUAAUGCAGAUGUUGGUCUUUACAUGCUUGCUAACAAGGUACGGAUACGAAAUAUAGGUCCUGAGAAGAUGGUGUCUUUCAUCUUAUCUUAAGUAAUUAGAAUCGGUGAGGCGAGAUAGAUGUUUGACUAUGUUUAAGCUUCAUAAUACUUUAUUUGCUUUUUUGAGUUCAGCUUAGAUAGAAUGUAUGUUGGGUUUGAUCGCAUUUAUCAAAUAAAUGCCUAUUUUGUCUGAAAAAGUCCCAUAUUUAUAUAUACCUAAUGGCUAAAACUGGUGUUGUUCAAUUCAUAAGAUGUGAUUUGUUUUAUAUGUAGUAUCCUAUUGAUUGAUAAUGUUUGCCAUCAUUGGAAUAAAAUAUGAGAUUCAAGUGAUCUAUAUCAAUAUUCUCAAAGGAUUUAUUUGUGGUACUGUGAACAUUUUAUUAAAAAUUUAGUAACACCAUUUCUUGUGGAGAUUUUUGUUUUAUUGUCUUAUUAUAUUUAAAGCACCUAGCCUGAAUUUCUGUCUAGGUGCUGCAACCCUUCAUGUGUGCUUACUUCUUCAAAUCUUGAAUAAUGAGUUUAGUAUGUAGAAUAUUUUAUACGCACACACUAGCAUGCAUACCAAAUAUAUAUGCUUGUCUCAGUAUUAAUUUCAAUUCAAAUUAUGUAUUAUUCUUCUAACUGUUCAUGCUGACCCGUCCAGUGGAUGGUAGAUGAAAAAGAGCUCCGUGUGAUUCACUAUACACUGGGACCUCUUAAGCCUUGGGACUGGUGGACAUCUUGGCUUUUGAAACCUGUUGAUGUCUGGCAGGUACAUGUUCAACUAAUUAUCAUCUUUUGGCCUGUUAUUAAUGUUGUAAAAAAUAGUUCUCAUCCUCAAUUUACAAAGAGGCUACACUGCCUAAGCAGUCAUGUCUACCCAGUCCAGUUGAAUCUUGUGACAAAGUUUGCUGACUUAUUUUUUCUUACUCUGGCGGGGUUUCUUCAGGAUGUAAGGGAACGACUUGGGGAAUCCCUUCCUGGAACAAGAGGCGGCCAAAAUCCUAAUGACUAUUUUCUUGUGAAAUUUCUUUUUCUGCUACCAUUCUGUGCUUUACUAUUCUGCUGCUAUCAUUCAUUUAUGAAGGUAAGCAAGCUAUCAUGAAUUUGAGUUGAUAUUCUUGUCCAAUCUCAAGAAUUAAGCGCAUAGGGCUUCAAAUAAAUCUCGGAACACUGUAUUUUCUGCAGAAUCAAGAGUACUUUGGUUCAUUUUUUAGAGGCUCGCUAUGUGAUCAAGUCAGACACCUUUAUUAUAAGAUUAGGUCAAGUGGAGCACUUGCAUAUACAAGUAUGUCAACAUCAGCAACCAAUUCAAUCCAUCAGGUUGGUUUUCUCAUUGUCUUCUGGUUUGAUGUUUGUACUCUCUCAUUCGAGGCCUUCGUAUGGCCUAAUCAUUUGAUCUUGAAGAGGGAGACAAACACAAUACCUUGUGUAACGCCUCACAAAAUCACUAGCACAGGGCCCCACAUUCUUUAUCAUUAAAUGACCUGCUCAAUGCUGUCAUGUCACAGCUUCAAUUAAGAGGAUGCAUAACCUCGGGUUGGACUUGUAUACUUCUUACAUUUUUGCAUUUGCAUCAUAUUAAAUUUGUUUCUUUGGUGUCAAGCAGCUCUCGAAUGGUUCUCAGUGCAAGGUUCCUACCUAUCUCGGCGGUGUUUCUGUCUGUGUCUGUCUAACGACUGCAGUGGUGUCCCUUGGGCUAGCUCUCUUGAUUGUUCCCCGGCAAGUGAUGCCAUGGACUGGUUUGCUUUUGAUGUAUGAAUGGACAUUCACAAUGUUUAUUAUAUUAUUUGGAGGUUAUCUCCAUUUUAUUUAUCGGUGGGGAAAAUACGUUGCAUCACGGGCAGCAUCAUCGUCACUUCCCGAGUCUUUGGAUUACGAUUCUGGAAAACGUAUGUUAUCAAGAGUAAAGCUUAUACUGUGGUGUUUUGUGUUUCCUUUUAAUUUUGACCCAGAGAUGCUUUUUACUUUUUUCAGUGAAUUACUUUUAUACUGUAUUUACAGGUCAUCAGCGACAGAUGUCAUCGUGUGAUGUUGCUACGUGGUACUAUGGUUUAGGGAUGGCCUUGUUGGCCAUUGGCGCUCCAUCUUUGCCUUGUCUUUUUGGAAUAACUGCCUUAUUUUUAAGGUAAUUUGUGUUCUACUAUAGAAUCUUUUCUAGAAUCAUACAUUACCAUGGACUCUCGGCCUUUACUAAUUGCACUUGCAAUCUUGCAUUUUGUGUCCUUAAUUCCAAGUAGUUUUGAUAAGAAAACUGCGUUGUUGUUCGAUAUUUCUUUUCAAGUUACACUUAAACAUUUUAUUAUUCAAAUUGUAACAGGUUAGGUUUGAUGGUUGUUGGGGGCAUCAUUUUGGCAUCUUUCAUGACAUAUGCUUCAGAACAUCUUGCUAUCAGGUCAUUUCUUAAAGGACUUGAUGAUUGGGAUAUUGCUCCAAAUAGGAGCUUGUGUCUGUUAUGUUGAUUUUUGUUACAAUAGGAAGUGAUGUAAGACCAUAGUUUUUACAUCUUUCAGCCUAGAUAUGUAUUGUUGUUCUAGUUGAAGGUGUAUAUAAAUGAAUUUUUGUAUAUCUGGCAUUGUAUUUGCCUAGGUUUUGUUGUAAUAUUAUUUUUAUUUAUUCUUGAAAAACAGUGAUCCAUGAUUAACCUUUCAUGACAUCCUUCAAAUUUCAAAAUCUAGUUACAUUACUGUGUGGCCUAUGCACCUUUUUUUGAUGCUAUUUUUGUUCCCGGCACCAAAUGCCAUGUUAAGUUAUCAUUUUUUUUAUAAGCAUGUCAAGUUGUCAUUUAAUCACAACUUUGAAUGACUGCAUUUCUUAAGCCAUGGCAAUGACAGCAAUUCUAGCAUGAACUAGUAAUUACAUGUUCUUGUUGUCAUAUCCUUGUGGUUUCAUUUUAGACAUUUUACGUUGAGUCUCAUGUUGAACUCGGGUCGUCCCAUUUCUUUCUUUUUGCAAAUAUUUUAACUCAGUAUAUGUUAGCCACUACAUGAAUAUCAAGAAAAGAAAAACAAAAACAUUAAGGAAAGAAAGAAUGUUUAAUUGUGUUCGUAGAAUAUUGUUAUAGAGAAAAAGGAAUAUUUUUACACUGUAACGAACCAACGUUUAAACCACGUUUUUAUUUUUUAAAUACUUCUAUAACUUACAAAUUUAAAGAUUUUCAAAUCACGUUUUUAUUUUCUAAAUACUUAUAUGACUUACAAAUCUAAAGGUUUUAAUUGCAUGUAUAUGUAGAAAAAUUUAACUCGGACCCGUCAUUUAUUUAGCUACUCCUAGAUUAUACUUAUUAUUAAAAUGCCCUUGUAUAAAUAAUAUUUUAAAACUUAAAAAUGUUUAAAAAAUGAUUAAUAGAACCAUUUUACAAAGUCUUUCGGUACAUAAUAAAAAUUUAAAAAUGUAAAAAAAAUUGACUAUCAGAAUUUUUUUUCAAAGUCUUUCGGUACACAAAAUAAAAGUUAAUGUUAAAAACUGAGUAUUUGAACUCUUUUGCAAAAUCUUUGAUACGUAAAAUAAAAGGAACGUGCUCUGAUAUUAUAAAAUAUUUUACAUUAUCAACCAAUGAGGAGCCUACAUCUUUUCAAAUCAUGCUUUUAUUUUCUAAAUAUCAACCUGCCUUAACAAAUUUAAAGAUUUUAAUUAGAAUAUAUAUAUAUAUAUUACUUUACAUCGACUAUACACGACCUUUAAAUUCAUUGUUAUAAAUUUUGUAAAAUAAGAGACUACUAUAAAACCAAGAAUGAAAAUUCUUCUCCUGCCCCUUAAUCUCUCCGGCUCUUGAAAUUGACAAGUAUUCUAUGAAAUAUGAAAUUGGGAGUUGUUGAGAAAAUUGAAUAUUUAAAUCAAACUAAAAAAAUACGAUGAUAUUUUAUAUUUAUCAAAAUAGUGUAUCUUUACAUGAAUCCAACAAUGAGGGUAUUUAUACUACUAAAAAUUACAAUUUUUACAUAAAUAUAAUAAUUUAUAUAUUUUAAGUUGACAUUGUAAAUAGACAUUACUAUUUAAAGUUGACACUUUGAUAGAUAAUUCAAAUUAUUAUUUUAAGUUACAUUUUAGAUAGAUAUUUUAAAAUAAUAAUAAUACGCGUGUUUAAAAUAAUUAGUAUUUUCUAAUUUCUUAUAACAUCCCCCUUUUGAAAUAUCUAUCAUGAUGCUCCAUUGAUGUCUUGUCAUGGAGAAUCUUAAGGAAACAUAUAUUGUCUCGUUAAAAACCUUAUUAGGAAAAUUCCAUUGAGAUAAAAACUUUAAUAAGGGAAAAAAGAGUAUAACUCUUCCUCAACCAAACACAUAUAGUUCUUCUUCAAGGAUUUCAAAGAUGACAUAUUCCAAUAUUUUGUACAUGCUUCUUGAAAACGGAUGUAGGGAGUGCCUUUGUGAAGGGAUUCUCCACAUUUGUCACUCGAACGAACAUAUUGAAUAUCAACCUCUUUGUUUCUUGCAAAUCCUUGUGUGAAUGAGAAGAACUUUGGAGGAAUAUGAUUGAUUUUAUCACUUUUGAUGUAACCUUCUUUCAUCUGGGUAACACAUGUAGCAUUGUCUUCGAACAAAAUUGUUGGAUUCUUAUCAGUUGGUAAACCAGACGUUUCUUGAAUAUGUCGAAUAAAUCUUAACCAUUUACACUCUUUACUUGCUUCAUGAAGGGAAAUUACUUCAACAUGAUUCGAAGUUGCUACAAGUGUUUGCUUUUGGGAUCUCCAUGAUAUUGCAAUGUCACAAUAUGUAAACACAUAUCCAGUAUGUGAUUUAGCAUUAUGUGGAUCUGAAAAAUAUCCUACAUCUGCAUAACUAAGCAAAACUGGUUUUGUACUAUUAGAAUAAAAUGAACUAAGAUUAGACGUACAUCGGAGAUAUCGAAAUGUAUGUUUUAUUCCUUUCCAAUGUCUCUUUGUAGGACAUGAACUGAAUCUUGCUAGUGAAUUCACUGCAAAAGUUAUAUCAGAUCUUGUACAAUUAGCAAGGUACAUGAGUGUCCCAAUAACACUGAGGUAUGAUACUUCAUAGCCAAGAUCCUCUUUAUUAUCUUCCAUAGUUCUAAAUGGACCCCUUUCAACAUUAAGUGUUAUACCCAUAUGUACACCCGAGAAUUCUCAAAACCGAGUUAUAAGUCGUUAGGACCGAGAAUGAUUAAACCAAACACCAGAAAUAUUAUGAUAGUCGAGAUGGGUACUAUGACCAGUUAAUGUCUGUGCCAUGAUGUUCACUCAUUUGUAACAAUAAAGGGAUAUUUAAGGGCAUGCAACAAUUACGAUAUUAUGGCUUAGACCAUUACAACAAUUCAUUAAGGACAUUACACCAUUAAUCCGGAGGUUGAAAAAGUUAGGAAAUUAACUGACCAUUAAGGAAGUCUAGUUCCAUAAAAAAUGAGUAAUCCUAACAUCAUAAAGGGGGGAUGUGGCCGAGGAAUAACACAAAAAGGAGGAAACAAGUGAAAAACCUUGGACCACCAACAAUGGUGGCCAUUCAUCCCUUCCUAAAAACGUCUAAAACACAAAAAUCUCUUAACUAUUGUGAUCCCACCUGAUCAGCUUCAGGGGGAUUAACCAAAUGGUAAUUUUAGCAAGAAUAUUUGGCGCCCACUGUAACACUCUUCUACCCCGCAUGCAAUUUUAACACAUAAUUUAAUAAAACUCACAACCGCAUAAGGUGUUACGCAUAUCACAAAUAAUUCCUGCUCCGUAACACGAAUUAGAAAAUAUCACAUAACACCUGUCAUCGCCUGCUCACCUUCAUUUAGGGUACCAUCGUAGUAAAAUCAUCACCCAGUUAGGUCAAACAUUUAAUAAUCACAGUUUGGGAAAUUAAAUCUCAUAACUUCAAACUUCAUAAUAUCUUAACAAGAAUUAUAAUGUUCAAUUCAUCACCAUUUAAAACCUCCUCAAACAUAAAUAGCAAUUUCAACAAGAAAAAAAAAUUAGAGCAAACGUUCCCAGCCCGAUGUUACAUUGACCAGAGCAAGACCCUACUAAAAUAACGAUAACGAAUAGGAAGUCACUCUAAGAGCUACCUUUCACUUACUACAGCAAGCUACUAAUGAGUAUCUGCACGAUGCCCAUGUAAAGGCAACAUUCAAACAGAAGCCGUGGGAAUAUACUUCAAUAAUUAACGGUGAAAACAAGCAUAAGUAAAUUAUCACAUAACAUCAUCAUCAUACAUAUUACUUAAUCAAUACCAACAUACUAAGUAUUCUCAUCCAAUACCACGUUAACAAACAAACAAUCAACACAGAUACAACUCUUAUGCAAUGUACUCAACACCGACUCGACGUGUAUGUGGUACCAAAUAUGAACACUCAGGUUCGUUUCGCUCCCCGAUCCCCACUGUAGGAUCAGAUUCCCUCUUGUAAUGGAGCACAUCAAAUCGCUACCAUCACCAUAGGUAAUACUUCACUAAUCCCCCAUAAUAGGAAUUAGCUACUCGCACCUGAUCCAUCAUCAUAGGAUCGAGGCUCACCAAAAAUGGACCGAAGUCCGUACACCAUGAUGCAUGACUCUCAAUUGAUCAUGCAACCAUCAUUCAUGUUAUAGUGUCAAUAACAUCAUGGUGUACGGACUUCGGUCCAUUUUUGGUGAGCCUCGAUCAUAUGAUGAUGGAUCAGGUGCGAGUUGCUGCUGUUUGUUAUUGAUACACCUCAUCAUUUAUGCAUCACAUCAUUCAUCAUGCAACCAUCAUUCAUGUUAUAGUGUCAAUAACAUCAACAAACAGCAGCAACUCAUCAUACAUGAUUCAACGGUAAUCAAUCAUAUCAUUCCGCCCUCAAAUAACACACAUCAUUGUAUUAAAUAUAAUGAUUCACUAAUUAAUCAAACAAGUCAUCAUAAACAUCUCUAUGGUUGACAGUUGACUAUUAUGAGUGUGACUUAGCGUUAUGAAGCCUAUAAGCAUUUUGAAAUAAAUUAGAAAAGGUUUCAUACUUGAAAAAUAAGUUUCUAAGCUUAUGCAGGGUGAGUUCGAGAUGCCUAAUAGGGGAGUUGAAUUACUUCCUAGGUCGUUAAAUCAAGCAACUCGAUGAAGGCACAUUCGUUUGUCAAACCAAGUAUUGCAAUAGCUUUCUAAAGAAAUUUGGCAUGGAAGAUGUAAAAUUGAUUGACACUCUGAUGCCUACAAACGGUAACUUGGAAAGGAAUGAAAAUAGUAAGGAUGUUGAUGUGAAAAAGUAUAGAGGUAUGAUUGAUUCUCUUCUAUAUCUCACUGCAUCUAUGCCAAAUAUUAUGUUUAGUGUCUAUAUGUGUACCCGUUAUCAAUCGGCUCCUAAGGAAUCUUAUUUAAAAUCCGUUAAAUGCAUUCUUAGGUAUCUUCAUAGUACUUCUAAGUAUGGACUUUGGUAUUCCAAGGGAAUUGAUUGUAAUUUGGUAGGUUAUACCUAUUUCGAUUUUGUCGGUUGCAAAUCGGAUAGGAAGAGUAUUAGUGGAACUUGCCACAUAUUUUCAAAUUCCUUAAUUAGUUGGCAUAACAAGAAACAUGUUUCCGUUGCUUUGUCAACUGCCGAGGCGGAAUACGUAGCAGCCGGUAGUUAUUGUGCUCAAAUUUUGUGGCUUAAACAACAACUACUUGAUUUUGAUAUUAAACUACAACGUAUUCAUAUUAUAUACGACAACACUAAUGCCAUUAAUCUAACCAAAAACCUGGUGCUACAUUCUCACACUAAGCAUAUUGAGAUUCUUCACCACUUCAUACGCGAUCAUGUUGAGAAAGGCGACGUCGUAUUUAAGCAUUUUGAUAAUAAAAAUCAACUUGCGGAUAUUUUUACAAAACCACCUGCGACCGAACCAUUUUUCAACAUUCGAAGAGAACUAGGGAUUCUUGACAUCUCAAAUCUUGUCUAAAUAUGAUUUUUCGCAUGCACUAUCUCUAUAUAUGUUGUUUAUCUAACCUUCUUUAGAAGUUAUAUUACAUAAGAGUGCAUUCUUCAUCAAUUCAUAAGCAAGGUAUUAUGUUCCCUUUUCCCUUUUAUGUGUAAGCUUUUUCUUUUGUAUGUUGUUAUGUUCCAAAUGAUUGAUAUUCUUGACGUAUAAGAUAGUUCAUGAAUGUUCACUUCCAAAAAUAUCUAAUUGAUGUAUGUCAAUUUAUAUGUUUAUACUGACUUUAUGUUUAUCUUCUUCAUGCUUGAAAUAUAUAGUUGGUGUAUUGGUUUGUUAUAUAUUGUCUCAUGAAUUAUGAUUGAACAUGUUAUAAUGUUAGAAAAAUUCUUGUUGUGUGUUAUUGUUAUGUUUUCAUCUAUGUUUUUGCUUUGAGUGGUGGUAUAUUUUAUCGCCUUGCUAGAGCACAUGCGUGUGUAACAUUUCGGGAGCAUUAAAGGCAUAUGUCAUAUAAUCAUGUCGCUUUUGUAGCAACUCAAUUUUUUUAUCACAUUGUAUCCUUCAUUCAUUUUUCAUUUUUCAUUAUAUGUUUAUUUUAGAAAAAAUGUUUUAGUAUAAAAUUAUAAGUUAUUUUCCGACAUCAAUAAAUAAUUAUUUUUUUUCUAUUACACCCAUAAAUAUUUAUUAUUAUAUGUUUUUUUUUUAAUUUUAAUUUAUCUCACUCAUUAAUGAAUGCUACUAGUUUUUGAAUUUACAAGGGUGUGGGAUGCAUAUGUAAGGGUGAAAAGAGCAACCCUCGGAAACAAAUAUCAAUGAAUAACAUCUUGCAAGAUAAACCACCAAAGAUAUUGACACUCAUAAUAACAAACCUCAGGAGUAAAACCAUUUUCUAGCAUGCGCUCCUCAUUGAUGAUACCCUUAAUCAAAAUAGAUUACCAUCAACAGUCUCAAGGGAAUAAACAUUGUGUCUUUUGAGAUCAGGAGAAGAAUUAAACACCUGAACCGUUUCUCCCCCGAAUCACAAUAUUAAAUGUGUGUUUGUUAAAAUGUUAUAAACCACUAUAACUGAUUUAAUAUUUGUCAAAAUAUUUAUUCCAUUUCAAUAAAAACAAUUACGUUCCAUUAGCUUGAAUCUUCUACUCCAAGUUAACUUUUAGAGUUAAAACAUACAAAGAAUAAGAAUAAAUUAUACAAAAUUCAUUUAUAAUCUGAUAAAAUUUAAAAAAUCACCUAAGGUGUAACUUUUGUCAAAGAUCAAUUUCUAGUUUUAUACAAUAAUCAAUUAUUUUGACUAAGCUAUUAAAAAUCACGCUUGAAAAGAGGUCACACAAACGAGUAUAUGCAUAAUGUUUGAAUAAUCACACAAUAUUCAACAACAGAAAGUGAUAGUGAAACGUCAAAGAUAUGAAAAUCCUAACAUAGUACUGGAACUUACUUUCUUGAAGAAAUGGCGGAGAUGGAUAGACGAUUCUGUGGGAAUUUAACAAGCCACCAGUCGCAUAAUGUAACCCAGAGUUGGAUUGAAAGGGAAGAAGUGGGAUUAGAGAGAAUAAUAAUAAUAAUAAGAAGAAGAAAGAAUGAAAGGGGAAAGUUAGUAAACCGUUGCUAGGAAGCAAGAGUAUGUGCGAGUGUCAUUAGAAGUGGUUGCUUCUGGAGUGGAGUUAGCCAUAGAAAACUACACUCUUUCGGACACACCGCAGUGUAACUUAUUUUGAUUUGAUGUGAAUCCCUCUAUAAAUACUAUGCUAUUGUAUAAUUGUAUCUCCCUAUUCCUUCAGAGUGAAAUGUGUGUUGUUUUUGUAUUUGAUUUUUAUUUGGUGUGAAUCCCUCUGAACACCUAUGCGUUUAUGCGUUGCCAACGAAUUUCAAAUCAUAUCCUACUGAAAUCAAAUAAUAAUAUAUUUUGAAUUUCAAAUCAUAUCCUACUAUAAUCAAAUAAUAAUAUAUUUUAUUAGUUAAUCAAUUAAUUAAUUAUACAUCUAAUAAUUAAUAAAACGCGCAAUUUUUUCUUCCCCAUCUUCUUCAUUCAUUUUAAUAUUUGUGCAAGAGAGGUUGAUUAACACACUGAACAUAACUCAAAGAAACAAAAUCAUAGUUGACAUAGCUAAGAAUGACAUUCAUCAAAUAAGGAUAUAUCUCAAAUAUAAGAAGAAAUACAUGGCAAAUGCAACAAAUAUGCGCAAUACGACGUUAAACUAACCAACAACAAAACUAUACGUGAUCAAGAUAAACAUGAAUGAAAGAUUAAAUAAUGCAUAAACAAAUCACAAAGAUGCUAGAAAUGCACAUAAGUAACAUGAUGCACUUAAAAGUAUUUUUAAUGCACAAUAACAAGUUAUACAAUAACUUAGAAAUUAAUGAACGAAAAAUAACAUAUAAGAAAUAAUCAAAUAGACAUAUAGAAUAAAAUGCAAAGAUUAUACAACUAAAGAUAGAAGUUUUAAGGAUCAUACCAAUAAUGUUGUUUUAUAUGUAUCUUCUACAUGAAAAUCUUAGUUUACAACAACAUAAAUGUAGCAAGAAGAUAUAAAUCUACUUAUAACACGAAGAAUAUAAGAUUCCCGAUUCUUUAUGUAUCUCACAAAAAGGUUUCAUGGUUAAAAUUUUGUAAGAGUAUCAGUCAAUUGAUUUUUCGUAUCCAUAUACUUAAAAGUAGCAUCGCCCUUUUCAACAUGAUAUCUUAGUUUAAGACACUUGUUUUUCUUCCUCGUGUUUGAUUUCCUCUUUAUCUUUCUUAAUGUCAUCUUCUUCCAUAGGUUCUUAUUUGAGAGUGUUAUCUUUAACCAAUCAUUUAGUUAUCACACCUAAAACAUCACAGCCAAAAAGAAUACUUUUCUACAACAUACACGCGUGCACACACGUGUGCACACACACACACACACGCACACAUAUACACACAUACACACACAUACACACAGACACACACACACACGCACAUGCGCCCGCGCGCGCACUCAUAUGCACACGCACGUGCAUGCACCCAUACACACGCACACCUGCACACCCUCUCUCUCUCUCUCUCUCUCACACACACACACAUACACAUGUACACACACACACACAUGAAGCUACACAAAAUAUACCUGAGCACGUCGCAUGCUCAAAGAUACAACAAAGUCGCCAUCAAACUGUAUUUAUUCUUGGAGGAAAGAGAAAACAUCGAUAAAACCCGGGGGAAAGAGAAAAAGAGUAAGGAUGUCGGUUACGCAAGGAGAAGGUAUUAGCAUCUCUCACACCCAUUGAACUCAAUGGAAACCAUUUCGAUUGUUCUUUGCAAGAACGGGUGUUACUAUAUAAAGAUUACUCGCAAAAGGAGAAAAAGGUUUGAAUAAUAAAUGUGAAAAAAGAAAAUAAUAAUUAAUGUGAAAAAAAGAACAAUAAAUAAGUGUGCUCGCCAAGGAUUCGAUCCCUUGUGCCUACGUAUCCUCAUCGUGAAAUAAGGAAAUCAGAGCUCUGUAAUUCGUGGUAGAAAAUACGGAUGCGUUAAUCGUUUUUAAUGAACAGUGUUAACAUUCGUGUUCUAUAGUCAACUUGCUUGUAUGCUCGAGCAUGUGAGACUUAAGCGUUUGUUUGUUUGCGACAGAAUGGAUACACUUGGAUCACACUCUAGUAGUUAAUUACUUGUAUGCUCACACAUGGAGGCUUGAGCUUUGUUCACGGUAUAACGAAAGUAACACGUCCUUUCUGACAAGGUUUUUAACAGAAAAUGAUGCCCAAAGGAAAAAUUGAGUUUGAUGAGUUGACUUUGCUUUUAUUAUGAAAAAAAAGUCUUGAUUAGAACUGUACUAAAGUCUAUGAAUGGAUAUGAAUACGAUGAGCAACUGGGUCAUUCAUCCCGUACCCUAAGAUAUUCAUAACGAGGAUAAGAAUACUCCUUAUCACCCCUGAUCCAUUGCUUAAGGCUCAUGGCAUACAAUUGUAAUCCUAUUGUUAAUUAUUUUGAGCUUAUCACAAAAUGGUUUUAGUUUUACCGAAACAAAUAAAACAAAGGGGAAAAGAAACCCUAGAAGGUUGAAAGCUCGAUCUUCAGUCUGCAUCCCACAUCUAUGUAGAAAGACUUGUCAAUUAUUUGAUUUAAAUUGCACUAAAGUCUAUGAAUAUAGGUGAAUACGAUGAGCAACUAGGUCAUUCGUCCCGUACCCAAAGAUAUUCAGAAUGAGGAUAAGAAUUCUUCCUCUCAUCCCUUCUCUACUACUAAAGGAUCAUGACGUGCUAUUUGCAUCAUAACUGAUGAGUGUUGAAGUUGAACCUUUGUAGCGCUUGAACUGCAGUCAAGUUUGUAUUGUACUGACUUGUAUUAAAUGAAGUCUUGAACUCGAACUUGAAUCUUGCCUUGAGCUCCUGAGAUCUAGUACCUUUUCGAUAAGAGGACUUUCCCUAUAAAGUGAUCAAGGGUCUUUUGAUCACUUGAACAUGCUUGAGGAAUUGAGCACAAUGCAAAUGAUUUGGUUGAUGAAAGUAAACUUUGAUGAACACAACCAAUGGGAAUGGAAAUGAUCAUUUGAAUUAAGUACACAACAUAACCAAAGGGUUAAUCAUUCAAUUUACACCGAAUGAUUUUACAAGCCCUAAACUAGGGGAAUAAUGCAUAUCAGGAUAUUCUAAACCCUAGGGGUACUAAAGUCGGUGUGGACAAAUGGAUCAAUUAGGGAACAUAUUCUAAAAAAUAAAAAUCUAAUUAAAAUACUAAUCAAGCCUAAUUAUAUCCUAAUUAUAUCACAAUUGUUUCUAAUUAUAACCUAAUUAUUUCGAUUAUUUCGAAUGAUCACAUGAUAGAAAAAAAUUAAGCUAACAAAUAUUAACAGAGGAUUAAUUGUUUAUAUACACAAAAGUGUGAAAAAAUCAGAAUCAGAAAAUUAAAUCAGAAAUCAAUUAAAACUAAUUAAGCUAGAUAAAUUAAUUGGAAUUAAAUUAAUGAACACGAAGGAAGAGAGGGUGUGUAUGCAUGGAUUAAGGAGUGUAUGUGAAAUCGUUUGGGCCUGAAGCCCAAACAGGUCCAACUCUUCAACCGGUAAACGGGUCCAAAACGGAUCUGAAAACAGCAACGUAACACCAAGCCUUCAUUAACAAUUUUCAAACCUCACUUCUUCUCGCUCAAGAACGAAACUGAAACAAACAAAGGUGAAGAAAAAAAGGCUCAAAAAUCACUUCAAUCUUCGAAAUCAACAUCCAUCAUUCAAUUCAAUUCAUCUGGCGCACGCGGAAUCAAAAAGAAAUGAAAACGAAUUUGAAGCAAGAACUCAAUGAAUCAGAGUUUCGACAUGAACAGGUACCGAAUCUCCUCCCUUCUCUGUUUCGAUUCCUCCUUCUCAAAUUCUUCUACUACCAUGUGCGUUGAAUCGAGAGCAGUUGUAGCGGGGAAUUGAGAAUUGAGAGUUGCAGCGAGGAGUGAAAAUCGUGAGAGAUUAUGAGAGUUGCGAAUAACAAUGAAAUCGUGAGUUUGAAGAGUGAAAAAUUAUUUAGAAUGAAAAAUGAAUCGUGAAAAUUGAAGAAAUGAAAAUCGCCAGUGAUGAAGGUUGCAGGGUUAGCUUAAAUAGGAUGAAGAUGUUUGAUCCGUUGAUCUUCAUUAAUUCAUUUUUGUCAAUUCUAUUGAAAGUUUUUAACACUGUGAAUUAGUUAGUUGGUUAGUGUGAACCUAUUAACCGUUAGUUUGAAUUUUGGAGUGAAGUUAAACGUGAGUUGUUGUGAAGAAAAAUUAGAAGAGUUAAUCGGUUUUGAAUCUGUUAAUUUAGCUAAGUGAAUGCUAUGGUUAGUGAAAAUGAAUGAAAUUAGUUUUUUUUGAAGAGUGAAGUUAGUGAUGGAAAUUGGUUCUGUUAAUUUUUGCAGGGCCAAUUGAAACUGGCUUUAUUAGAAUUUGAUGCGAAUUGGAAUUUGGCUUGUGAAACUAAUUGGCUGCAUUUGGCAAUUGUUUUUGCAGGUGAAUGAGUUUGGAAGGUUUUUGGAAUAUUGUUGAUCAUAAGCUAUGCUUGGAAUGGAUUUGGAUUGUUAUAUUGACUUGAUUGUGUUGUAAUUUUGAAGUUGAAAUAUGUGAAGUGUAUUGAAUACUGUAACUUGUAAUCAAUGGUUGAAUGUUGGUUUGUGGUAUUGAAUAAUGUACAUGGAAUUGAAUGAAGAUGAAUGUAUUUGGGUAUUGAACAUGUAUGGCUUAUGUAUUUGAAAAUGGAAAUUGAAUGGUUGAAUGAAAUAUUGGAAUCAAUAGCUUAUGUAUGAAAUCGUUUGGUUAGUUUAAUUGUUAGAUUGAUUGGCUAUGGUGAAA